rnacentral:tRNA from 1 species
GGACCCAUGGUCUAGUGGUUAUGACAUCUCGUUUACACCGAGAAGAUCGCAGGUUCGAUUCCUGCUGGGUCCA